GACGCUGGCGGCAUGCCUUACACAUGCAAGUCGAACGGCAGCGCGGGAGCAAUCCUGGCGGCGAGUGGCGAACGGGUGAGUAAUACAUCGGAACGUGCCCAAUCGUGGGGGAUAACGCAGCGAAAGCUGUGCUAAUACCGCAUACGAUCUACGGAUGAAAGCAGGGGAUCGCAAGACCUUGCGCGAAUGGAGCGGCCGAUGGCAGAUUAGGUAGUUGGUGAGGUAAAGGCUCACCAAGCCUUCGAUCUGUAGCUGGUCUGAGAGGACGACCAGCCACACUGGGACUGAGACACGGCCCAGACUCCUACGGGAGGCAGCAGUGGGGAAUUUUGGACAAUGGGCGCAAGCCUGAUCCAGCCAUGCCGCGUGCAGGAUGAAGGCCUUCGGGUUGUAAACUGCUUUUGUACGGAACGCAACGGCCUUUUCUAAUAAAGAGGGCUAAUGACGGUACCCGUAGAGUAAUAA
rnacentral:rRNA from 1 species